rnacentral:rRNA from 1 species
UACGAGGGGGGCUAGCGUUGCUCGGAAUCACUGGGCGUAAAGCGCACGUAGGCGGAUCGUUAAGUCAGGGGUGAAAUCCUGGAGCUCAACUCCAGAACUGCCUUUGAUACUGGCGACCUUGAGUUCGGGAGAGGUGAGUGGAACUGCGAGUGUAGAGGUGAAAUUCGUAGAUAUUCGCAAGAACACCAGUGGCGAAGGCGGCUCACUGGCCCGAUACUGACGCUGAGGUGCGAAAGCGUGGGGAGCAAACAGG